AUUGAACGCUGGCGGCAGGCCUAACGCAUGCAAGUCGAACGGUAACAGGAAGCAGCUUGCUGCUUUGCUGACGAGUGGCGGACGGGUGAGUAAUGUCUGGGAAACUGCCUGAUGGAGGGGGAUAACUACUGGAAACGGUAGCUAAUACCGCAUAAUGUCGCAAGACCAAAGAGGGGGACCUUCGGGCCUCUUGCCAUCGGAUGUGCCCAGAUGGGAUUAGCUAGUAGGUGGGGUAAAGGCUCACCUAGGCGACGAUCCCUAGCUGGUCUGAGAGGAUGACCAGCCACACUGGAACUGAGACACGGUCCAGACUCCUACGGGAGGCAGCAGUGGGGAAUAUUGCACAAUGGGCGCAAGCCUGAUGCAGCCAUGCCGCGUGUAUGAAGAAGGCCUUCGGGUUGUAAAGUACUUUCAGCGGGGAGGAAGGGAGUAAAGUUAAUACCUUUGCUCAUUGACGUUACCCGCAGAAGAAGCACCGGCUAACUCCGUG
rnacentral:rRNA from 1 species